rnacentral:rRNA from 1 species
GAUUAACGCUGGCGGCAUGCCUAUACAUGCAAGUCGAACGAAAGUAGCAUACUUUAGUGGCGAACGGGUGAGUAACACGUAUCUAACCUACCAUUUAGUGGGGAAUAACUGUUGGAAACGACAGCUAAUACCGCAUAUGUUAUUUAUUUGCAAUGAUAAAUAAUGAAAGGAGCAUUUGCUUCGUUAAUUGAUGGGGAUGCGGCGCAUUAACUAGUUGGUAAGGUAAUGGCUUACCAAGGUAACUAUGCGUAGCCGAUCUGAUAGGAUGAACGGCCACAUUGGGACUGAGACACGGCCCAAACUUCUACGAAGGCAGCAGUAGGGAAUUUUUCACAAUGGGCGAAAGCCUGAUGGAGCAAUGCCGCGUGACUGAUGAAGGUC